rnacentral:rRNA from 1 species
GCCCUUGAAUAUAUCAAAGGUGUAACCUGCCCAAUGAUUUUUAACUCAAUAAAAAUACUAAUUUUAUAAAAGAAUUUAAAGGACGCAGUAUCCUGACUGUGAUAAUGUAGCAUAAUCACUCGCCAUUUAAUUAAUGGAUAGUAUGAAUGGUUGAACGAAUAUUACACUGUCUUGGGUAAAAAAUAUAUGAAAUUAAAACAAUAGUAAAGAUGCUAUUUAAAACUGUAAGACGAAAAGACCCUAUAGAGCUUAACUACAACCUCCCUCAAAAAGAAUAGUAAUAAAACCUAAAAAACAGGAAGGCUGGUAGUUUAGUUGGGGCGACUAUCUUUUAAAAGAAACAAAGAUAAGCAACGUUAAUACCUUAACUUAUUGUAAAAUUAAUACAUUUAACAAUUAUAAAAAUAGGCUAUAAUGACCCGUUAAUUGAUUAUAAAAUCACUAACGAUCAAUAAAUAAAAGCUACCUUAGGGAUAACAGGAUAAUUUCAUUUUAGAGAUCUUAUCGAAAAUGAAGUUUGUCACCUCUAUGUUGAAUUAAGAUAACCUGAUGGUGCAGAAGCUAUCAAAGGUAGGUCUGUUCUACCUAUAAAAUCUU